GGUUGAUCCUGCCGGACCUGACUGCUAUCGGAUUGAUACUAAGCCAUGCGAGUCAUUGUAGCAAUACAAGGCAGACGGCUCAGUAACGCGUAGUCAAUCUACCCUAUGGACGGGAAUAACCUCGGGAAACUGAGAAUAAUGCCCGAUAGAACAUUAUGCCUGGAAUGGUUUAUGUUUCAAAUGAUUUAUCGCCAUAGGAUGGGACUGCGGCCUAUCAGUUUGUUGGUGAGGUAAUGGCCCACCAAGACUAUUACAGGUACGGGCUCUGAGAGGAGUAGCCCGGAGAUGGGUACUGAGACACGGACCCAGGCCCUAUGGGGCGCAGCAGGCGAGAAAACUUUGCAAUGUGCGAAAGCACGACAAGGUUAAUCCGAGUGGUUUCUGCUAAAGAAACCUUUUGUCAGUCCUAGAAACACUAACGAAUAAGGGGUGGGCAAGUUCUGGUGUCAGCCGCCGCGGUAAAACCAGCACCUCAAGUGGUCAGGAUGAUUAUUGGGCCUAAAGCAUCCGUAGCUCGUUUUGUAAGUUUUCGGUUAAAUCCAUGCGCUUAACGUAUGGGCUGCCGGGAAUACUGCAUAACUAGGAAGUGGGAGAGGUAGACGGUACUCGGGAGGAAGGGGUAAAAUCCUUUGAUCUCUUGAUGACCACCUGUGGCGAAGGCGGUCUACCAGAACACGUUCGACGGUGAGGGGUGAAAGCUGGGGGAGCAAACCGGAUUAGAUACCCGGGUAGUCCAGCUGUAAACUAUGCAAACUCAGUGAUGCAUUGGCUUAUGGCCAAUGCAGUGCUGCAGGGAAGCCGUUAAGUUUGCCGCCUGGGAAGUACGUACGCAAGUAUGAAACUUAAAGGAAUUGGCGGGGGAGCACCAC
rnacentral:rRNA from 1 species